rnacentral:pre_miRNA from 1 species
UGUUAUACCAGGCAUCAUAAAUAAUUCUUAGGCAAUAUUUAAAAUGGCUGCAAGCCAUUUUUAUGAUUGAUUCAGAAUUAUUUACAAUGUCCUGCUCAA